AACGAACGCUGGCGGCAGGCUUAACACAUGCAAGUCGAGCGCCCCGCAAGGGGAGCGGCAGACGGGUGAGUAACGCGUGGGAACGUACCCUUUUCUACGGAAUAACGCAUGGAAACGUGUGCUAAUACCGCAUACGCCCUUCGGGGGAAAGAUUUAUCGGAGAAGGAUCGGCCCGCGUUGGAUUAGCUAGUUGGUGGGGUAAAGGCCUACCAAGGCGACGAUCCAUAGCUGGUCUGAGAGGAUGAUCAGCCACAUUGGGACUGAGACACGGCCCAAACUCCUACGGGAGGCAGCAGUGGGGAAUAUUGGACAACGGGCGCAAGCCUGAUCCAGCCAUGCCGCGUGAGUGAUGAAGGCCUUAGGGUUGUAAAGCUCUUUCACCGGAGAAGAUAAUGACGGUAUCCGGAGAAGAAGCCCCGGCUAACUUCGUGCCAGCCGCCGCCGUAA
rnacentral:rRNA from 1 species